rnacentral:rRNA from 1 species
UACAGAGGGUGCGAGCGUUAAUCGGAAUUACUGGGCGUAAAGCGUGCGCAGGCGGUUUGCUAAGACCGAUGUGAAAUCCCCGGGCUUAACCUGGGAACUGCAUUGGUGACUGGCAAGCUAGAGUGUGGCAGAGGGGGGUAGAAUUCCACGUGUAGCAGUGAAAUGCGUAGAGAUGUGGAGGAAUACCGAUGGCGAAGGCAGCCCCCUGGGCCAACACUGACGCUCAUGCACGAAAGCGUGGGGAGCAAACAGG